rnacentral:rRNA from 1 species
GACGAACGCUGGCGGCGUGCUUAACACAUGCAAGUCGAACGGAAAGGCCCUGCUUUUGUGGGGUGCUCGAGUGGCGAACGGGUGAGUAACACGUGAGUAACCUGCCCUUGACUUUGGGAUAACUUCAGGAAACUGGGGCUAAUACCGGAUAGGAGCUCCUGCUGCAUGGUGGGGGUUGGAAAGUUUCGGCGGUUGGGGAUGGACUCGCGGCUUAUCAGCUUGUUGGUGGGGUAGUUGCUUACCAAGGCUUUGACGGGUAGCCGGCCUGAGAGGGUGACCGGCCACAUUGGGACUGAGAUACGGCCCAGACUCCGACGGGAGGCAGCAGUGGGGAAUAUUGCACGAUGGGCGGAAGCCUGAUGCAGCAACGCCGCGUGCGGGAUGACGGCCUUCGGGUUGUAAACCGCUUUCGCCUGUGACGAAGCGUGAGUGACGGUAAUGGGUAAAGAAGCACCGGCUAACUACGUG